GACGAACGCUGGCGGCGUGCUUAACACAUGCAAGUCGAACGGAAAGGCCCUGCUGUUGUGGGGUGCUCGAGUGGCGAACGGGUGAGUAACACGUGAGUAGCCUGCCCUUGACGUUGGGCUAACUUCAGGUAACGGGAGUUAAUACCGGAUAGGAGCUCCUGCUGCAUGGUGGGGGUUGGAAUGUUUCGGCGGUUGGGGAUGGACGCCCGGCUUAUCAGCUUGUUGGUGGGGUAGUGGCUUACCAAGGCUUUGACGGGUAGCCGGCCUGGGAGGGUGACCGGCCCCAUUGGGCCUGGGAUCCGCCCCGGCCUCCUCCGGGGGCCAGCAGUGGGGAAUAUUCCCCAAGGGCCGGAGGCCUGAUGAGCCACGGCCCCGUCCGGGAUGACGGCCUUCGGGUUUUAACCGGCUUCAGCAUGUGCCGAGGCGUGAGUGACGGUAAUGGGUAAAGAAGCACCGGCUAACUACGUG
rnacentral:rRNA from 1 species